CCUACGGGUGGCAGCAGUGGGGAAUAUUGGACAAUGGGGGGAACCCUGAUCCAGCCAUGCCGCGUGUGUGAAGAAGGCCCUCGGGUUGUAAAGCACUUUCAGUGAGGAAGAACGCCUGGUGGUUAAUACCCUUCAGGAAAGACAUCACUCACAGAAGAAGCACCGGCUAACUCCGUGCCAGCAGCCGCGGUAAUACGGAGGGUGCGAGCGUUAAUCGGAAUUACUGGGCGUAAAGCGCGCGUAGGUGGCUUGAUAAGCCGGUUGUGAAAGCCCCGGGCUCAACCUGGGAACGGCAUCCGGAACUGUCAAGCUAGAGUGCAGGAGAGGAAGGUAGAAUUCCCGGUGUAGCGGUGAAAUGCGUAGAGAUCGGGAGGAAUACCAGUGGCGAAGGCGGCCUUCUGGACUGACACUGACACUGAGGUGCGAAAGCGUGGGUAGCAAACAGGAUUAGAUACCCUUGUAGUC
rnacentral:rRNA from 1 species